GGUUGAUCCUGCCAGUAGUCAUAUGCUUGUCUCAAAGAUUAAGCCAUGCAUGUCUAAGUAUAAGCUUUUAUACAGCUAAACUGCGAAUGGCUCAUUAAAACAGUUAUAGUUUACUUGAUAAUCUUUACUACAUGGAUAACCGUGGUAAUUCUAGAGCUAAUACAUGCGAAAAGACCUGACUUUACGGAAGGGUUGUAUUUAUUAGAUAAAGAACCAAUAUUUUUGGUGAUUCAUAAUAACUUUGCGGAUCACGUUAUGUGACAUAUCAUUCAAGUUUCUGACCUAUCAGCUUU
rnacentral:rRNA from 1 species